GACGUAGGGGGCUAGCGUUGUUCGGAAUUAUUGGGCGUAAAGAGCUCGUAGGCGGCUUGUCGCGUCGUCCGUGAAAACCUGCAGCUCAACUGCAGGCUUGCGGUCGAUACGGGCAGGCUGGAGUUCGGUAGGGGAGACUGGAAUUCCUGGUGUAGCGGUGAAAUGCGUAGAUAUAGGAAGGAAUACCAGUGGCGAAGGCGGCCUCCUGGAUCAACACUGACGCUGAGGUGCGAAAGCGUGGGGAGCAAACAGG
rnacentral:rRNA from 1 species